ACGAACGCUGGCGGCGUGCCUUAUACAUGCAAGUCGAACGAGGACCAGGGAGCUUGCUCCCUGUAGCCGAGUGGCGGACGGGUGAGUAACACGUGACCAACCUAUCCCAUGGGUGGGGGACAACCUGGGGAAACCCGGGCUAAUACCGCAUGAUGUCUCUUUGUCGCAUGGCAGGGAGAUCAAAGAGGGCCUCUGCUUGCAAGCUCUCGCCAAGGGAGGGGGUCGCGACGUAUCAGCUUGUUGGUGGGGUAACGGCCUACCAAGGCUACGACGCGUAGCGGGUCUGAGAGGACGACCCGUCACAUUGGGACUGAGAUACGGCCCAGACUCCUACGGGAGGCAGCAGUAAGGAAUAUUGCGCAAUGGGCGAAAGCCUGACGCAGCGACGCCGCGUGUGGGAGGAAGCCUUUCGGGGUGUAAACCACUGUCAGAGGGGAAGAACUCCGCCGAUUCGAAUAGGGUCGGCGACUGACGGUACCCUCACAGGAAGCGCCGGCUAACUCCGUG
rnacentral:rRNA from 1 species